rnacentral:lncRNA from 1 species
CUUAGAAUUACUUUGAAGGGAGAGGUCAGGAUGGGCAGGAAAAUGCAGAGGAAGUGUGACAAAGUCUGUUCAUAAAUGUCUCCUGAGGAGGCAGGGCUCAAGUGGUGGCACCAUCCUAGCCGUGAGACUGAGCCCUGCUGAGCUCCGAUGCCGCUGUCCUCAUCUUACUACGCUGAGGUGCGGUUGAAGGCCAAGGAGGUGAAACAAGAGGCAGAAAUUCAGCAGGAGGACGCUGCUCUGAGCUGCACCAGUCGCUGUGAGAACUGAAGCCCGCAUGGAACUCCUCAGGAAGCAGCGCGAUGAAGACGGGUGCAGGACGCGAGAGGCCAGGAAAGGCCAGGAGCUCCCAUGGGUCUGGUUUGAGAAACUGAGCGACCUCCUUCCAAGCAGCCAGCCUCAUGGAAAGGGUCGCUUGCCUGCUAGGCAGAUAACAUGUUAAUUUCUGAGUAUAUUCAGCAACCGGUGGCAUAGCCAGGUAGAGGAGAGAAACCAGGGAAGUGGGGCACAGAAGCAGAAGCAGAAGCUGGCAGAGACAUCAGACACAGGCAGCCUCGCAAGGUGCACAGAGGACCAUUCCGGGAAGAGAGGCAAGGAAUCAGGAAGCGGCUGAGGACUCUGGUGGGGGCAAGUCCAGUGAGGUGCUCUGGUGAUGGGGUAAUACCAGUCAAGGGAACACUGAACCAGCAUCAUAUGCAAAGUGUGAUUUCAAAUGGAUGCAGAGAAACUCCCCAGAAGGGUGAGUCACAAUUGCUGAGGAUGACUGUCCACAGUGAAGAGAAUUUGCUCCUCUUCAUGUUCUACAUGUUAAUGAAUUCCACAAAAUAUAUGGAUCAAGAUGGGGCAGUGAGCAGAGGUCUGGCUUAGAGAAAGAAGGGCCAUGGAGGUCGAAGUAUACAAAUAGCAAAAGUGUGGGCUUUUGGGGCUACUCUGCAGUACAGCACGAGGACAGUGGUUAGUAAUCAUGCACUGUGCUCAGGACUUUUGCUAAAUGACAGAAUCUAGCUGCCUUUGCACGGGAGGUAUAAGAUUAUGAUCAGGGUCAUUUGUUCCACCAUAGCAACUAUUUAAGUAGGUAUCUCACAGUGUCAUACUGCAUGGCAUAAAUAUGUACGAUAAAGUGUAUUUUUUUAUAAAAGAGUGAUCUCUCUUCUCUAUCAGCC